rnacentral:misc_RNA from 1 species
GUGAAUCAUCGAAUUUUUGAACGCAAAUUGCACUUUCUGGUAUUCCGGAAAGUAUGCCUGUUUGAGGGUCAGUUUAAUAAAAAUAGGUGUUGUUGCUCCAAUUGGUGGUGAUGCGUAGGAAUUGCGUUGUUUUAAUUUUGGUUAAGUGAGCUAAAAUUUUGCUUGAUUUUCGAACGUAUAUAAAUAUAUUACGUACGUUUGUGAUAUCGUAUAUUUU